UCAACCUCAAGCUAUGCUUGGUGAUGGGCGCCUGCCCCGCCUUCGCGCGCGGGCUCGCCUCAAAGACAUUGGCAGCGGUCUUGCCGGCUCCUUGCGCAGCACAUUUGCAAGAGGAGGCCCGGCGGAUCGGCGUCCAGCAAGUUACUUUUACA
rnacentral:misc_RNA from 1 species